rnacentral:tRNA from 1 species
GGAGGCGUAGCGCAGGCGGCCGGUGUUCGGGUCGAAGGCGCCCGGAGUCCCUAUCACCAGGCGGUGGACGUCCGCGCGGGUGAGUCCCGCCGCCUUCA